rnacentral:rRNA from 1 species
GAACCUGAAACCGUGUACGUACAAGCAGUGGGAGCACAGGUUUACCUGUGUGACUGCGUACCUUUUGUAUAAUGGGUCAGCGACUUAUAUUCUGUAGCAAGGUUAACCGAAUAGGGGAGCCGGAGGGAAACCGAGUCUUAACUGGGCGUUAAGUUGCAGGGUAUAGACCCGAAACCCGGUGAUCUAGCCAUGGGCAGGUUGAAGGUUGGGUAACACUAACUGGAGGACCGAACCGACUAAUGUUGAAAAAUUAGCGGAUGACCUGUGGCUGGGGGUGAAAGGCCAAUCAAACCGGGAGAUAGCUGGUUCUCCCCGAAAGCUAUUUAGGUAGCGCCUCGUGAAUUCAUCUCCGGGGGUAGAGCACUGUUUCGGCUAGGGGGCCAUCCCGGCUUACCAACCCGAUGCAAACUGCGAAUACCGGAGAAUGUUAUCACGGGAGACACACGGCGGGUGCUAACGUCCGUCGUGAAGAGGGAAACAACCCAGACCGCCAGCUAAGGUCCCAAAGUCAUGGUUAAGUGGGAAACGAUGUGGGAAGGCCCAGACAGCCAGGAUGUUGGCUUAGAAGCAGCCAUCAUUUAAAGAAAGCGUAAUAGCUCACUGGUCGAGUCGGCCUGCGCGGAAGAUGUAACGGGGCUAAACCAU